ACAGCUCCGAGCAGUGGAUCACUCGGCUCGCGGGUCGAUGAAGAACGCAGCCAGCUGCGAGAUUUGGUGUGAAUUGCAGAACACUCAGAUCACUGAUUAUUCGAACGCACAUUGCGGCUCCCGCUCCUCUGCGGGAGCCUCGCCUGUCUGAGGGUCGCGUGAUGCAUGCAGAGGUUCUUUCCUCGGAAGGUGACCAAACGGCCCCUUCGGAUUCGUCCGUGGGCUCAGAGAACGAUCUCUCCCGGGGAUCGACCGCAAACGUACCCCGGGAGUAAGACAGAUAAGGGAUAACUAUGAAAACGAGAAGCGACCUCAGAUCAGACGAGAGAACCCGCCGAACUUAAGCAUAUCAGUAAGCGGAGGAAAAGAAAACAACAGUGAUUCCCCCAGUAGCGGCGAGCGAAAAGGGAAGAGCCCAGCGCCGAAUCCCUGCGUCGAGAGGCGCACUCUGGGAAAUGUGGCGUAAGGAGUGCGCGCAGGUCCGCCGCAGGGUUCGAGGUAAGUCCCCCUGACAGGGGCUUUUCCCGGGGCGGGUGCCAGGCCCGUGUCCUCGAGCCCCGUCGGCGGUGCCGGCGCCUCCGGAGAGUCGGGUUGCUCGGGAGUGCAGCCCCAAGGCGGGAGGUAGACUCCUCCCAAGGCUAAAUACGACCGCGAGACCGAUAGCAAACAAGUACCGUGAGGGAAAGUUGCAAAGAACUUUGAAGAGAGAGUUCAAGAGACGUGAAACUGCUCGGAGGGAAACGGGUGGGCCCUCGAAGUCCCGACCUUCCGCGGAGACUCAGUCGCUGUCGAGCGACGCACUUCUCCGCGGGAUUCUAGGGAAGUCGCGGCCGGUCGCCUUCUUCUCUCCGCCUCCGGGUGAGUCCGCCGCGCACCUUCGGGAGCGUCGGCGUCCCCCGGGGGCCCGAUGCAGAGAGGGCGACCCGGUGCCCGCACGGGCCAGCUCCUCCCGCCGUCCGCCUCUUCCGGGCACCUGAAGCCCGUCCGUCGCCGACGCGCCUCGUCCCUCGUGGAGGGCGGUCCUUCGGGCGACUCCUCGAAGUCGGAAAUGUACUCAUGCGGGCGGAGGGAGUUGCGGUUCCGCGACGAGUAGGUCGGUCACCCACCCGACCCGUCUUGAAACACGGACCAAGGAGUCUUGCUCUCGUGCGAGUCUAAAGGUACUCUACGAAGCCCAGAGGCGCAGCGAAAGCGUAGAUCGCGAUCCCUCCUCUGACUCGAGGGGGGCGCAGCGACCGCCCGUGCCUCGAAGUGGGAACGGAGCGAGAGCACGAGGGCAGGGACCCGAUAGGUGGUGAACUAUUCUCGGGCAGGACGAAGGCCGAGGAAACUCGGCUGGAGGUCCGAAGCGGUUCUGACGUGCAAAUCGAUCGUCCGACCCGAGUAUAGGGGCGAAAGACCAAUCGAACCACCUGGUAGCUGGUUCCCUCCGAAGUUUCCCUCAGGAUAGCCGUCGCUCGUCGGCAGCAGUCUCGCCGGGUAGAGAGAAUGAUUAGAGCGCCUCGGGGACGCCCGUGUCACUCGACCUCUUCUCAAACUACGAACGGACGAGAAGGGAGCCUCUCCCGAUUCGGAGGCCUCCCGAGUAAGGAUGCAGAGUGGCGCGUGGGCCACUUUUGGUAAGCAGAACUGGCGCUGCGGGAUGAACCGAACGCCGGGUUAAGGCGCCCGAUGCGGGACGCUCAGAGACCCCAUAAAAGGUGUCGGUUGCUCUAUACAGCAGGACGGUGGCCACGGAAGUCGGCAUCCGCUAAGGAGUGUGUAACAACUCACCUGCCUAAGCAACCGGUCCUGAAAAUGGAUGGCGCUCCAGCGUCGAGCCCAUACCCGGCCCUUUCUCUAACGUUUCGGAUACGGAGAAAGGAGUAGGAGGGUCGCGGCGGAGUGCGUAGAAGGUCAGGGCGCGAACCCGACUGGAGCCUCCGCCGGUGCAGAUCUUGGUGGUAGUAGCAAAUAUUCGAGUGAGAACCUCGAAGACUGAAGCACGGAGAAGGGUUCCAUGUGAACAGCAGUUGAACAUGGGUGAGUCGGUCCUGAUUCACUUCCUAAUGGAAUUAUUAAAAGCUUCUAUUAUUUGAGAUGAGAAGUAAUGGAGAAUGGGAAAAGGGUUAAUAUUCCCUUACCCGGACACGGAGAUAGGGGCACCCGUGUCCCAAGUGCGGUAACGCAAACGAACUCGGCGACGCCGUCGGAGGACCCGGAGAAGAGUUGACUUUUCUUCGUAAGAGCUCGUGUCCCUGGAAUCUCGUCACGAGGAGAUAGGGACGCUGUUCUCGUAAGAGCACGGUCGCUGCUGCCGUGUCCGGUGCGCCUCCGCCGGCCCUUGAAAAACCGAGGGAGAGAGUGUGAUUUUCGUGCCGGUCCGUACCCAUAUCCGCAGCAGGUCUCCAAGGUGAACAGCCUCUAGUCUCUAGAACAAUGUAGGUAAGGGAAGUCGGCAAGUUCGAUCCCUAACUUCGGGAAAAGGAUUGCUCUUGUGUUUCCGUCCUGCGGACCUCUUU
rnacentral:rRNA from 1 species